rnacentral:rRNA from 1 species
UACGUAGGGUGCGAGCGUUGUCCGGAAUUAUUGGGCGUAAAGGGCUCGUAGGCGGUUUGUCGCGUCGGGAGUGAAAACCAGGUGCUUAACACCUGGCUUGCUUUCGAUACGGGCAGACUAGAGGUAUUCAGGGGAGAACGGAAUUCCUGGUGUAGCGGUGAAAUGCGCAGAUAUCAGGAGGAACACCGGUGGCGAAGGCGGUUCUCUGGGCCUUACCUGGCGCUGAGGAGCGAAAGCAUGGGGAGCAAACAGG